rnacentral:rRNA from 1 species
CCUACGGGUGGCUGCAGUGGGGAAUAUUGGACAAUGGGCGAAAGCCUGAUCCAGCCAUGCCGCGUGUGUGAAGAAGGCCUUCGGGUUGUAAAGCACUUUCAGUGGGGAAGAAAGCCUUGGGGCUAAUACCCUCGAGGAAGGACAUCACCCACAGAAGAAGCACCGGCUAACUCCGUGCCAGCAGCUGCGGUAAUACGGAGGGUGCGAGCGUUAAUCGGAAUUACUGGGCGUAAAGCGCGCGUAGGCGGUCUGAUAAGCCGGUUGUGAAAGCCCCGGGCUCAACCUGGGAACGGCAUCCGGAACUGUCAGGCUAGAGUGCAGGAGAGGAAGGUAGAAUUCCCGGUGUAGCGGUGAAAUGCGUAGAGAUCGGGAGGAAUACCAGUGGCGAAGGCGGCCUUCUGGACUGACACUGACGCUGAGGUGCGAAAGCGUGGGUAGCAAACAGGAUUAGAUACCCGUGUCGUC